AGUGAACGCUGGCGGUAGGCCUAACACAUGCAAGUCGAACGGCAGCACAGUAAGAGCUUGCUCUUACGGGUGGCGAGUGGCGGACGGGUGAGGAAUACAUCGGAAUCUACUUUUUCGUGGGGGAUAACGUAGGGAAACUUACGCUAAUACCGCAUACGACCUACGGGUGAAAGCAGGGGAUCUUCGGACCUUGCGCGAUUGAAUGAGCCGAUGUCGGAUUAGCUAGUUGGCGGGGUAAAGGCCCACCAAGGCGACGAUCCGUAGCUGGUCUGAGAGGAUGAUCAGCCACACUGGAACUGAGACACGGUCCAGACUCCUACGGGAGGCAGCAGUGGGGAAUAUUGGACAAUGGGCGCAAGCCUGAUCCAGCCAUACCGCGUGGGUGAAGAAGGCCUUCGGGUUGUAAAGCCCUUUUGUUGGGAAAGAAAAGCAGCAGGUUAAUACCCCGCUGUUCUGACGGUACCCAAAAAAUAAGCACCAGCUAACUUCGUG
rnacentral:rRNA from 1 species